UACGUAGGCAGCAAGCGUUGUUCGGAAUUACUGGGCGUAAAGAGUUCGUAGGCGGUGUGCCAAGUUUAGUGUGAAAUCUCCCGGCUCAACUGGGAGGGUGCGCUGAAUACUGGCAUGCUCGAGUACAGGAGAGGAAAGCGGAAUUUCUGGUGUAGCGGUGAAAUGCGUAGAUAUCAGAAGGAACACCUGUGGUGUAGACGGCUUUCUGGACUGUAACUGACGCUGAGGAACGAAAGCGUGGGUAGCAAACAGG
rnacentral:rRNA from 1 species